CCUGAAUUCACUGGACAAAGCUAACUUCGAGAAGGUUUUCAGCACCCCUAACUCUAUUUAAGAUGCCCUCCACCCUCUUCCCAUCUCAUACUGAAGUUCAUAGAUUUGGCCGUCAAUUCACCAAGUUUUAUCACGAGUAGUUUCUUUACUGCCAAAGCUAAUCAUCGUCGAAAAAAUGAGGUAAGGCCCUCUUGACUUUUUAAAUAUCUUCAACCCAUCCUCCCUAGC
rnacentral:lncRNA from 1 species